GAAAGAUGAAAAGAACUUUGAAAAGAGAGUUAAACAGUACGUGAAAUUGUUGAAAGGGAAACGAUUGAAGCCAGUCGUACCUUCGGGUAAUCAGCCUUUUGGGUGUGAUUUUGUGGAGUGUGAAGAGUUAAACGCCUUCAUGCCUGCAUAUUCGUGCACUUUGGGUGUACUUGCCCGUGUGGUUGGUUAACAUCAAUUUUGGUUAUCAUAAAAUGACUGGAGGAAUGUAGCUUCGAUCUCGUAUUGAAGUGUUAUA
rnacentral:rRNA from 1 species